rnacentral:rRNA from 1 species
AUUGAACGCUGGCGGCAUGCUUUACACAUGCAAGUCGAACGGUAACAGGCCGCAAGGUGCUGACGAGUGGCGAACGGGUGAGUAAUGCAUCGGAACGUGCCCAGUCGUGGGGGAUAACGCAGCGAAAGUUGCGCUAAUACCGCAUACGAUCUAUGGAUGAAAGCGGGGGACCGUAAGGCCUCGCGCGAUUGGAGCGGCCGAUGUCAGAUUAGGUAGUUGGUGGGGUAAAGGCUCACCAAGCCGACGAUCUGUAGCUGGUCUGAGAGGACGACCAGCCACACUGGGACUGAGACACGGCCCAGACUCCUACGGGAGGCAGCAGUGGGGAAUUUUGGACAAUGGGCGAAAGCCUGAUCCAGCAAUGCCGCGUGUGUGAAGAAGGCCUUCGGGUUGUAAACUGCUUUUGUACGGAACGAAAAGGUUUGGGUUAAUACCCUGGGCCGAUGACGGUACCGUAAGAAUAAGCACCGGCUAACUACGUGCCAGCCGCCGCCGUAA